rnacentral:rRNA from 1 species
CUACGUGCCAGCAGCCGCGGUAAUACGUAGGUCCCGAGCGUUGUCCGGAUUUAUUGGGCGUAAAGCGAGCGCAGGCGGUUAGAUAAGUCUGAAGUUAAAGGCUGUGGCUUAACCAUAGUACGCUUUGGAAACUGUUUAACUUGAGUGCAAGAGGGGAGAGUGGAAUUCCAUGUGUAGCGGUGAAAUGCGUAGAUAUAUGGAGGAACACCGGUGGCGAAAGCGGCUCUCUGGCUUGUAACUGACGCUGAGGCUCGAAAGCGUGGGGAGCAAACAGGAUUAGAUACCCUGGUAGUCCACGCCGUAAACGAUGAGUGCUAGGUGUUAGACCCUUUCCGGGGUUUAGUGCCGCAGCUAACGCAUUAAGCACUCCGCCUGGGGAGUACGACCGCAAGGUUGAAACUCAAAGGAAUUGACGGGGGCCCGCACAAGCGGCGGAGCAUGUGGUUUAAUUCGAAGCAACGCGAAGAACCUUACCAGGUCUUGAC